UAAUGAAGGUGUUGAUAACAAUUGGAUUGGUUGGUGACUUGAGUUAUGCCUGGGAGAUAAUGGAUCGGUAUACAUUACUAAUGCAGCAAGGAAUUAAGAAGCAGCCUAAUUUAGUUAUUAAACUACGAGCUACUUUUUUAAAGAUGGCGUCAGCGCUUGAACUACCCUUGGUUAGAAUUGGUCAAGCCAACAGUCUUGAUUUUGUUAGUGUAUCACAAUACUACUCAGGUGUACUGGUCACUUAUUUAAG
rnacentral:lncRNA from 1 species